GCCCCCUUGGCUCAAUGGAUAGAGCGACGGCCUCCGGAGCCGUAGAUGUGGGUUCGACUCCUACAGGGGGUACCA
rnacentral:tRNA from 1 species